rnacentral:rRNA from 1 species
UACAGAGGGGGCGAGCGUUGUUCGGAAUUACUGGGCGUAAAGGGCGCGUAGGCGGCCUGCUAUGUCGAACGUGAAAUCCCCGGGCUCAACCCGGGAACUGCGUCCGAAACUGGCAGGCUUGAAUCCGGGAGAGGGAUGUGGAAUUCCAGGUGUAGCGGUGAAAUGCGUAGAUAUCUGGAGGAACACCCGUGGCGAAAGCGGCUCUCUGGGACGGUACUGACGCUGAGACGCGAAAGCGUGGGGAGCGAACAGG